rnacentral:rRNA from 1 species
AGUGGCGCACGGGUGAGUAAUGCAUAGGAACGUGCCUUUAGGAGGGGAAUAACCACGGGAAACCGUGGCUAAUACCGCAUAAUCUGGCAACAGUAAAAGUGGCCUCUACUUGUAAGCUACUACCUAAAGAGCGGCCUAUGUCCCAUUAGCUAGUUGGUAAGGUAAUGGCUUACCAAGGCAACGAUGGGUAGCUGGUCUGAGAGGAUGAUCAGCCACACUGGAACUGAGACACGGUCCAGACUCCUACGGGAGGCAGCAGUGGGGAAUAUUGCACAAUGGGCGCAAGCCUGAUGCAGCAACGCCGCGUGAGUGAAGAAGGCCUUCGGGUUGUAAAGCUCUUUCGACUGGGAAGAAGGGUAGUUAUUUAAAUAACUUAACUAUCUGACGGUACCAGGAGAAGAAGCACCGGCUAACUCCGUGCCAGCAGCCGCGGUAAUACGGAGGGUGCAAGCGUUGUUCGGAAUUACUGGGCGUAAAGCGCUCGUAGGCGGAUUCGUAAGUCAAUUGUGAAAGCCCUGGGCUCAACCCGGGAAUUGCAGUUGAAACUGCGAACCUUGAAUACCUGAGAGGGUGACGAAAUUCCUGGUGUAGAAGUGAAAUUCGUAGAUAUCAGGAGGAACACCAGAGGCGAAAGCGGUUGCCUGGCAGAGUAUUGACGCUGAGGAGCGAAAGCGUGGGGAGCAAACAGGAUUAGAUACCCUGUAGUCCACGCUGU